AAGUCGUAACAAGGUUUCCGUAGGUGAACCUGCGGAAGGAUCAUUAUUGAUUUUAGCUAACCUGGCUAUUUUAGCCACGGUUAUGCGAAAUUUUGUAUUUAAAACCCCACUCUUUAUAAUAAAAAUUUAUUAUAUUUAUGAUAAAAUUAAGAUCACUUUCAACAACGGAUCUCUUGGCUCUC
rnacentral:misc_RNA from 1 species